CGAGCAUCCUCUAAUCCGCCAGGGUCACGGUAGAAUGCUUUGGCUACAUUCCAUUCAUGCCAAGGAAGAUCACAAGAUGUUUUUAACCCUGAUGGGGAUACCAGCUCAAUAAUUCACCUCCUGUCAUGAUUGACACCUGAGACAACAGACAACACACGUCUAUAUCAGCAUGAGGAACUGCUGACACCCCC